CACCAAGUACUGAUGUGAUGUGA
rnacentral:siRNA from 1 species